CAGGCCUAACACAUGCAAGUCGAGCGGAAACGACAUAACAAUCCUUCGGGUGCGUUAAUGGGCGUCGAGCGGCGGACGGGUGAGUAAUGCCUAGGAAAUUGCCUUGAUGUGGGGGAUAACCAUUGGAAACGAUGGCUAAUACCGCAUAAUGCCUACGGGCCAAAGAGGGGGACCUUCGGGCCUCUCGCGUCAAGAUAUGCCUAGGUGGGAUUAGCUAGUUGGUGAGGUAAUGGCUCACCAAGGCGACGAUCCCUAGCUGGUCUGAGAGGAUGAUCAGCCACACUGGAACUGAGACACGGUCCAGACUCCUACGGGAGGCAGCAGUGGGGAAUAUUGCACAAUGGGCGAAAGCCUGAUGCAGCCAUGCCGCGUGUAUGAAGAAGGCCUUCGGGUUGUAAAGUACUUUCAGUUGUGAGGAAGGGGGUAGUGUUAAUAGCGCUAUCUCUUGACGUUAGCAACAGAAGAAGCACCGGCUAACUCCGUGCCAGCAGCCGCGGUAAUACGGAGGGUGCGAGCGUUAAUCGGA
rnacentral:rRNA from 1 species